GAUGAACGCUAGCGGCAGGCUUAAUACAUGCAAGUCAAGGGGGUAGCAAUACUACCGGCGCACGGGUGAGUAACACGUACAUAACAUACCAUAUACUGGGGUAUAGCUUUGGGAAACUGAAGGUAAUCCCCCAUAACAUUGCGAGAGGGCAUCUGAUUGCAAUUAAAGUUUCGACGGUAUAUGAUUGAUGUGCGUUUGAUUAGCUUGUUGGUAGGGUAACGGCCUACCAAGGCGACGAUCAAUAGCUGGCGUGAGAGCGCGACCAGCCACACUGGAACUGAGACACGGUCCAGACUCCUACGGGAGGCAGCAGUAGGGAAUAUUGGACAAUGGGCGAAAGCCUGAUCCAGCCAUGCCGCGUGAUAGAUGAAGGCCCUCUGGGUUGUAAAUAUCUUUUAUCUGGGAAGAAACAAUCUUAUUCUUAAGAUCUUGACGGUACCAGAGGAAUAAGCACCGGCUAACUCCGUGCCAGCAGCCGCGGUAAACU
rnacentral:rRNA from 1 species